GUUUAAAAAAACAGUGAACCUUAAGACAAAGAUAUCAGAAGACAAAAAGACCUCCAGGAGAUUUUACCUUUGGGAAGGACUACUUCCAUGUAGCAGGGCCCUGAGGAGUCGAGAAGGAAAGCACAAGGGAAGCAGAUGGCUGGCUGAAAUGCUUGUGAAAAGAAAACUAAUUACAGAAGAUGAAUACUGACUUCCUUUGGGUAUUCAGUGGCAACAACGUCAAUGUUAAAGUGAGAAGUACUGGAGAGGACGGAGACAUAAAGAGGAAAUAAAGGAGAAAAGAGAAUGGAGAAGAAUUGUGAG
rnacentral:lncRNA from 1 species